GCACCGCACGUCGCGUGGUGU
rnacentral:siRNA from 1 species